rnacentral:sRNA from 1 species
CCUCUUCGAUUUGUUGCGGACAGAUAAAGUGAAUAUGUGUAUCCACCCCACCUGCUGUCACUAUCAUGCCUUCGCCUGCAAUAAUCUCUGUGCCUGCGCCAAUUGCAAUCGUCACAGCUGACUGAAUAUCAGGGUUGCCCGCUUUACCAAUCGCGGAAAUUCGCCCAUUUUUGAUACCAAUAUCAGCUUUAACAAUACCCCAGUGAUCAAUAAUCAAUGCGUUAGUAAUGACCGUAUCGGCAACGUCUUUAGCACAAAGUUGGCCUUGACCCAUACCAUCACGAAUG